rnacentral:rRNA from 1 species
AAAAGUUUAACGGCCGCGGUAUUUUGACCGUGCGAAGGUAGCGUAAUCACUUGUCUUUUAAAUGAAGACCUGUAUGAAUGGCAUAACGAGGGCUCAACUGUCUCUUUUUUCCAGUCAGUGAAAUUGACCUGCUCGUGAAGAGGCGAGCAUAACCAUAUAAGACGAGAAGACCCUAUGGAGUUAAAACACAAGAUCAACUAUGCUAUCAAGCCAACACACCAACAGGAAUAACAGCUAUAAGCAUGAUAGUACCUCUGAUCCUAAUGUUUUCGGAUGGGGCGACCACGGAGGACAACAAAACCUCCAUGUCGACGGGGGCACUUCCCCUAAAACCUAGGGCGACAGCCCAAAACAACAGAACAUCUGACGAACAAUUUUCCAGCCCCAAGCCUGAUCAACGAACCAAGUUACCCUAGGGAUAACAGCCCAAUCCUUUCUAAGAGUCCAUAUCGACGAAAGGGUUUACGGACCUCGAUGUUGGAUCAGGCACAUCCUAAUGGUGCAGCCGCUAUUAAGGG